UGAACUACGCGGUCAAGGCGUACCAUCCUCGAAGUCAAUACGUCAAUAACGUCCCCGAGAGAUCGAUCACCGUCAUCACCGUGAUCACCGUGAUUGAUAUUGAAAAUGGAGGUUCCUUCGUGGGAUAAUGUUGAUGACACUCCAGUUUUCAUCAAUAAUAGUACUGAAACAAGUGAAGUAACGAGUACUUGUUGUGAUAAAUUUAAAAUAGAACUCAGAUCAGCACAAAAAAUUAUUGAACUACUACAAGAAGAGAUGAACUUAAACACGGCCAAUCGGACUGUAAGUACGGACGCAUUUUACUUGCAUCACAACGAGAAUUCAUCACUAUUGGAAUUCAAAAAAGGAAACUGGGUUCAUGUGUUCUUGAAUCUCAGCUGGAACAUCUGGCCAACCUGACGUAGGUUUUUCAUGGUGUUUCACAGUACCUCCAGGCAAAUGCUGGCUGGACUUUGUAUCUCUUAUCAGGUGACGACCACCAAGACUUUUGAAUACAUAAUUUUUGAUCAUCAGCCAUUUGAUACUAUAUAGUUUCCGCUACGAAGUUUGUUGUGAAAUCAGGAAAAUAAAUGUGGUGCAGGAGCAGUUUUGAAUGUUAUUAAUAAUCUGAAAUAACUUUCAGUGCCAGAAGAAGUACUGUCCAACAUCAAGAUUGAACCAGAUGACAGCGCACUGGAGCUACAGGUAGCCCUCAAGAAAGCACGCAGACUGAAGCUGCAGGAGGCUGUUACAAAAUCAAAGAACAGUAUAAAAAAGGUACAUCACAUGGGCAGAUUUCCUUUUUAAUCCUCACAAAUGUUUGGCUGUAGUAGGGGACAUUUCUUUUGAUCAGUCAAGGCCAUCUUCCCCUCACUUGUCUGAGACAAUAGAGGAACAGCCCUAAGGAUAGGUGGUGGGAGGUGAUGAAAUUGGACCUAGCUACAGAAUCCUGUGCUGUGUUUAGUUCCUACACAGUGUCUCCAUAUGUUCCAGUUAUAAAAUGUUGACCAGAACUUUGUAGUAAAAUUCACUGUGAUCUUUCCUCUUUGGUUACUAUACAAAACCGUUGUACUGUGGAGAAACUGUGUUCUGAUUUAACCUGAGGGCUAUUAAAUUGUUUCUCUCACAGUCUGUUGUGGUGGGCCUCAAACCAGUAAAGCAUAUCGUUACAUUUAAGUCAUAUCAUCAUCCUUUCGUACUAUGCUAUGAACCAGAAGGUUGUGGGUUCAAUUCCCAGUGAGGGAAUUGGAUUUUUAAAUUGACCCAAUCCUUCCAGCCAUACUAUGGGGUGGAUUCAGCCUCUAACAGAAAUGAGUACCAGGGAUUGUCCUGGGGGGAUGGGAAUGUAAGGUUGACAAACUCACCGCUGUCUGUGAGUUUGGCUUUGUUUCCCGCCAGUACUGGUUUUUUGCUUGGUUUGUUCUUCAGCCCUGAAGAUGGAGGUGACGUGUGUCUCCAAAAUGUCUGUUGACUUUUGACAGACUACACGGCGUUAUAUCCCAGAUGACAGAACUCUCAAAACCACUGCUGUCAGAAGCUUACACCCUACACAGUGUAGUCAGUACUUUACAGUGCAGUAAUGUUUUAUACAGUGGUUGGUGGGUCAGCAGUUCUAUCUCAAGGUAAUGAAUUGGUAAUUUUUGGGCUGCGCAUUUGCAUCUUGCUAAUCUCGUACAAAAUUUACAUUACAGGGCUUUGAGAGGGAAAUGAUUGAAGAGAAGAAACAUCAGGAAGAAGGCAAACGUGGAGCUUGGAAUGAAGUUGAGAUUGAGAUGAUGAAAAGUUUGGGCAUCGCGAGCAGUACAGUGGUCCGACCUUAGACUUCAAAGAAGAGGAGGAGGGCUACCAACCGGAUGUUAAACUCGACUACACAGAUGAUAAUGGACCUGUGCUUAAUGCAAAGGAGGCUUUCAGAUACCUGUCUCAUAAAUUUCAUGGAAACGGACCUGGCAGAAAUAAAGCAGAGAAACGAAUGAAGAAGAAUGAACAGGAAGGAGGCAACCAUCUCGAAAACAAAACUGCAAAUUCUUCGUGAAAUACGCCGGCACCAACUCUGAAAUUUAGUAUGGACUUAUAUUUUUAUUGUUUCUGUCUGCAAUAUCAUCUCUAUUUUUAAGUAAGACACAGCUUGCAGCUGACGAUAGUGCCUGUAGGUACUGGAAGGAAGGCCACAGAGUUCAUGUCACAUUCAAAUGAGUACAGAGGUUCUCCUGUGCCAGCUGUUGGCACUUGUAAGCUGAGAAGUACAAUUUCUAGUGAGCAGUUGCUUGUUUAUAGGACCUGAGCCAGAUGAACUGCCUCUGAACUAAAUUGGACAUGAAUUAAUUGUAUAUUUGGCCUUUCUUGAUUGCAGUAGCAAUAUUUCUACACCCCCCAUCCAUGCUGCAUUCAGGCCGGCAAAUUGGCCACUGAACAUUGUGACAUGUAUCCUUCCAAAAGACGAAAGAAACCCUUGUUCAGUGAUAGGCCAGUAUGAAAAGCUGUGAAAUUAUACAAGCCACAGAAUCAGAACAGAAUCAGAUGUACAGUCUACUGCAAAUCACUGUAAAGCACCACUGACAUAUUAUUGAAACAUUUGUAAUGGAUUUAUAAAAGUAACUUGGUUCAUCCUGGCCCAUCACACUCGCAACUGUAUAUAAGAUUUUUAACCAUUGUCCAGUGUGAUUGAUAA